rnacentral:rRNA from 1 species
GACGAACGCUGGCGGCGUGCUUAACACAUGCAAGUCGAACGGAAAGGCCCUGCUUUUGUGGGGUGCUCGAGUGGCGAACGGGUGAGUAACACGUGAGUAACCUGCCCUUGACUUUGGGAUAACUUCAGGAAACUGGGGCUAAUACCGGAUAGGAGCUCCUGCUGCAUGGUGGGGGUUGGAAAGUUUCGGCGGUUGGGGAUGGACUCGCGGCUUAUCAGCUUGUUGGUGGGGUAGUGGCUUACCAGGGCUUUGACGGGUAGCCGGCCUGAGAGGGUGACCGGCCACAUUAGGACUGAGAUACGGCCCAGACUCCUACGGGAGGCAGCAGUGGAGAAUAUUGCACAAUGGGCGGAAGCCUGAUGCAGCAACGCCGCGUGCGGGAUGACGGCCUUCGGGUUGUAAACCGCUUUCGCCUGUGACGAAGCGUGAGUGACGGUAAUGGGUAAAGAAGCACCGGCUAACUACGUG